CUAGUCAUAUGGAUUCGCCCGCCGCGCCCCGCGCCCGUCCCGCCGCCCCCGCCCGCUCCUACGGGAGGCAGCAGUGGGGAAUAUUGCACAAUGGGCGCAAGCCUGAUGCAGCGACGCCGCGUGCGGGAUGGAGGCCUUCGGGUUGUAAACCGCUUUUGUUCAAGGGCAAGGCACGGUCUUUGGCCGUGUUGAGUGGAUUGUUCGAAUAAGCACCGGCUAACUACGUGCCAGCAGCCGCGGUAAUACAAUC
rnacentral:rRNA from 1 species